rnacentral:rRNA from 1 species
UGGGGAAUAUUGGACAAUGGGGGCAACCCUGAUCCAGCAAUGCCGCGUGUGUGAAGAAGGCCUGAGGGUUGUAAAGCACUUUCAGUGGGGAGGAGGAUUGUUUGUUUAAGAGAUGGACAAUUGGACGUUACCCACAGAAGAAGCACCGGCUAACUCCGUGCCAGCAGCCGCGGUAAUACGGAGGGUGCAAGCGUUAAUCGGAAUUACUGGGCGUAAAGAGUGCGUAGGUGGUUUUGUUAGUUAUCUGUGAAAUCCCUGGGCUUAACCUGGGCAGGUCAGAUAAAACUGCAAGACUCGAGUAUGGGAGAGGGUAGUGGAAUUUCCGGUGUAGCGGUGAAAUGCGUAGAGAUCGGAAGGAACACCAGUGGCGAAGGCGGCUACCUGGCCUAAUACUGACACUGAGGCACGAAAGCGUGGGGAGCAAACAGGAUUAGAUACCCGCGUAGUCC